rnacentral:rRNA from 1 species
AGAACUUUGAAGAGAGAGUUCAAGAGUACGUGAAACCGUUCAGGGGUAAACCUGAGAAACCCAAAAGAUCGAAUGGGGAGAUUCAGUGUCAGCGGCGUUGGCUUCCGUACGGCUCGCGAUGGCCGGGACCUCGGUCUCGCGUCACGCGGUCGACGCGGCAUGUCUGGCGCUCGUCGGCGUGCACUUCUCCCCUAGUAGGACGUCGCGACCCGUUGGGUGUCGGAUCAAUGGCCGGUCGGUCGUCUGUUGCGCCUCGGCGCGGCAGACCGACUGGUUCAACGUCCGGCUGCCCGGCGGUAUAGAACGCUUAAUCACGGUAAUGGGCCGCAACUUUGAAUGCGUUCAGGCUCGACGACAAGCUCGCCUCGCUCGGACUGACGGACCUAGCGCCGUUGCCGGGCGCUUGGCGUGGCUGUUAGUCGACGAUGUCCUCGGACUGGCUCUUACCGGUCUGCGACGCUACUGCUUUGGGUACUUUCAGGACCCGUCUUG